GGCGGCACAGUGAUGCUUGAAGCAUGCUUUUGAACACCGCGAUUUGAAUUAGGAUAACUUCAACAACAAGAAUGAAAAUGGUAAAAGACAUUUUAAAAAAAGACAUUUCAAAUUUGCUGAAGUUCUUAAAAGAGUAGGUCAGUCUUGCCCAGAAAAGUCCCAUCAUCGUGGGAAUGAUAUGUGUAUGUAACAUUAUCCUGUAGAUAUCGGCGUACUGUGUUUGCUAGACUUCACUGUCACAAGAACAAUAUUCUUUAUAUGUGUGCUGCACAUAGGGUUGUUUUUUUUAUGUUAUUCUUGUGUUGUCUGUGGACUCCAGGGCUGUUUCCGAUUGACUCACCUUGUGUGUACGUUAAAUGUCUUUAGCAAAUUGCUAGUGGUGGAUUCAAACAAGACACUACAGUUGACAGAAAUGUGGCAGCUUUCACUGGGGUCAUUUAGUUUUUCUAAAAUUAAAAAUGAGAUCAUUUGGAAGAACAUUGCCAAAAUAUCAAGAUAACAACCAGUCCUCAUAUUAUGCGUCUAACACAGGGGUUGGCGACUCUGUGUAGGCUUGCAGAAAGUCAUGAAGCUCUCGAGGAUCUUCCUAAGGAGGACACCAUUUCUGGCACUGCAGUCGAUGGAGGCUAACCAACGAGGAAGAGAAUUCACUCUGCUCUGCUGGUGCGUGAGGUUAUCCAGUUCAAUCCCAUCAAUGGUCAAAGCCCCCCCAUCGACUGAGACGGAAAGGAUGAAAUCAUUUGGAAUCCAUGGCGAUGCUUCACCAAGCCCUUCUGUGAGUGAAAUCACUCUGAUUGGCAGUUCAGCUCAGCGCACAAGAAGAGAAAUGAGGAAAGUAAACAAAGACCCGAAGUCAAGAGGGAGUGAGACCACAACAAACUUCUUACAUAAGG